rnacentral:rRNA from 1 species
AUUGACCGCUGGCGGCAGGCCUAACACAUGCAAGUCGAGCGGAGCGGCGGCCGGGUGAGUAAUACCUGGGAUUCUACCUGGUAGUGGGGGAUAACGUCCGGAAACGGGCGCUAAUACCGCAUACUAUCAGAUGAGCCUAGGUCGGAUUAUAUAGUUGGUGGGGUAAAGGCCUACCAAGGCGCCGAUCCGUAACUGGUCUGAGAGGAUGAUCAGUCACACUGGAACGUAGACACGGUCCAGACUCCUACGGGAGUCAGCAGUGGGGAAUAUUUGACAAGGGGCGAAAGCCUGAUCCAGCCAUGCCGCGUGUGUGAAGAAGGUCUUCGGAUUGUAAAGCACUUUAAGUUGGGAGGCGUUACCAACAGAAUAAGCACCGGCUAACUUCGUGUCAGCAGCCGCGGUAAUAC